UAAAAGCUUGGUCCUGACUUUAUUAUCAGCUGUUACUAAAUUUACACAUGCAAGCAUCUACCCCCCUGUGAGAAUGCCCUCGAUCCCCUAAUUGGAAACGAGGAGCGGGCAUCAGGCUCGCCACACGUCUGCCCAAAACGUCUUGCUCCGCCACACCCCCAAGGGAACUCAGCAGUGAUAAACAUUAAGCCAUGAGUGAAAACUCGACUUAGUGAAGGUAAUUAAGGGCCGGUAAAACUCGUGCCAGCCACCGCGGUUAUACGAGAGGCCCAAGUUGAUAAACACCGGCGUAAAGUGUGGUUAGGAUUUUCCCCACUAAAGUUAAACACUCCCAGAACUGUUAUACGCUCCCGGGAGCAGGAAACCCAGCAACGAAAGUGACUUUAAACCUCCGACCCCACGACAGCUAUGACACAAACUGGGAUUAGAUACCCCAUUAUGCCUAGCCAUAAACUUUGAUAGAAUCUUACAACCUCUAUCCGCCUGGGAACUACGAGCGCUAGCUUAAAACCCAAAGGACUUGGCGGUGCUUCAGACCCCCCUAGAGGAGCCUGUCCUAGAACCGAUGAUCCCCGUUCAACCUCACCACUUCUUGUUUCUUCCGCCUAUAUACCGCCGUCGCCAGCCUACCCUCUAAGGGACCUAAAGUAGGCAAAAUAAGGACUUCUUAAAACGUCAGGUCGAGGUGUAGCGAAUGAAGUGGGAAGAGAUGGGCUACAUUCUCUGAGCCAGAGAACCACGAAAGAGAUUUUGAAAUAAACCCCCGAAGGCGGAUUUAGCAGUAAGCACGAAAACAGUGAGUUCGGCUGAAACCGGCUCUGAAGCGCGUACACACCGCCCGUCACUCUCCCCGAACACCCUACUCACCUUACCUAAAAAAUUUUAACCUCAAGGGGAGGCAAGUCGUAACAUGGUAAGUGUACCGGAAGGUGCACUUGGAGAAAC
rnacentral:ncRNA from 1 species